rnacentral:misc_RNA from 1 species
UGCAUAUGACGUCCCCCCUAAUCCGAGCUUAAGCUCCAAGGUGGGUGCUAAAAGGCCGCCAAAAAUGAUAAUCCCAGCAAUGAGAGAAAAACAAGUAGCAUAAUAUAAUUUCAGAUUUUCUGCACUCAAAGGAGGCAAGAAGGGGAUGAAUGAUGGAAAGUUAGGAAGCUCAUUCUCUUGUUUUUCGCUUAAAAUCCCAAGUUCAGCACUCUUGAUUCUCUGUUGUAUCCUUAGCCUACGAACCUCCUCCAUAUGCAAGAAAAUUUUGUUUCGCCGACUUCGGAUAUUAUCUCGAAUUUCUCGCAGUUCCAUUUUAGAUAAGUCUUGAACCGUUUCAGGCCCUUCUAUAAUACAAAACCCAGCGGCGUUUAUAUCAGUGGAAUCAGAAUCAACAGAAGGCACGAAGGAAGAAGAUUCCAGCUCAGACGCCAUAGAUCGCCAUUUCGAGCUUAAAUUGCGUUUGACACCUACAAAUCUACCAUUUAAGUGAUGUGAGCUGUGAGGACCGG